GGUCUAAAUUUAUUCCCUUUGCUCUCUCGUCAGUUUCAGACUUUCAGUCUCUUCCUCCUCCACAUCCGCCAUCACCAACACCACCACUAUAUCGAUCAAACCAAACUCCACCACCAUCAUCUCCACAAUCAACAUCUCCACCUCUAUCUAUAACAUUUCAAUUUGUGUUUCUUUUUUAUUUCCAGUUAGAUUCGAGAGAAAGAUUUAAGUUUUUCGAUGAAAUUGAAAUCAUCAUCAGAUGUAGUAGAAUUUGAUAAUUGCUCUUCAUCUUCUUCGUCCAGAUUUUGAUAAUUGAUCCCGUUUUCGAGAUUUUUCGAUCUAUUAAUUUCGAUUGAAGAUUCAUGGAGUUAUAUGAGUUGAUCUAUGUAUUAACAGAUUUGAUAGAUUUGGUGAUUUGAGAAGAAAUGGAAGGUAAAUCAGAAACACCUAUAUGAAGAGAUUGUUUGUGAAGAGAUGAUGGUCGUUAGUAUCAGAUCCGAUUUGGAACUGAUCAGGAAAAUGAGCAGUGAAGAUAAAAUUGAUCGAGAGAUUCGUAAUCAGCAGUGUUUGCGGCAGUGGAUAUUGUGGUGGUGGCAGUGGUGGUCCUUUUUGUGUUUACAGCAACCUUUGGUGGUGGAUUUUAGUGCAGUGUAAUAGAGGUGAUAACAACAUUUAUGUUGGUGUUGGUGCAGUAGAGGUGGUGGUAGUGUAAAUGGAAGCAGCAAACCUUAUGUUUAAAUGAAAUUCAAAUAUAAAAAUCAUCAGGAGCAGCGGUCCAUCUUCUUCUUCUUCGUUGAAGAUUCGGGUGAGAUCCCAAUUUUAGGUUUUGAUUUCUGGUAUGGAUCUCAUUUUAAACUAAAUUUCCGAUAAUAAACGAUUUCAAUAUCAGAUUCAGAGUGAUCGAGAUUGAUUUUUGGUUUCAUUUAACUUUUAAGAUCGAGAUUCGAUUUUGAAUGAAUAAUUGGCAGUUUGAAUUUGGAGUUUGAAUGAAGAAUUCAGUGUUGAAAAAGAUACAUCAGUCAUGGGUACUUGUUGAUUUCGAUUAUAGAUACUAUAAUUAGAGAAAGCAAAGAAGAAUCAGGGGUCUGUUGAGAAGAAUCGAGAAUUAGGGAUUUGAUUUACAUAAAAUGAAGAAAUUGAAGCUCUCUAAUAAAGCAAUUGAAAGUUACUGAUCAACUUUGAGUUGGCUUGGUGUUUAUUUGUGAUUGAUUCAAGAAGAAAUUUGAAGAUGUUGGUGGUAUCUGAGAUGGAGUUGACCUAAUUGAUUGCUGUUGUGCAACAUGGAAAUGGAAGCAGAGGUUGCUAGGGAUGGAACUGCAGGGCUGGGAGUUGCUAUUGCAAACAACAAGAAUUAGAGCUGAUAUUGCAGACAACAACAAUUAGAGCUAAGAGAGGAGCUGUGUUUGAGGAUGCAAGGCUGUAUUUACAGUGUAGGUGUGGAACUUGGUGAUUGUCUUUUGGAAACUUAGGAGAUGGCUUAUGAUGGAGAUGUUUUUGAUGAUUUGGAUAUAGUUGUAGUUGUUGAGAUGGGUUUGCAGUAUUUGCGUACUUUAACAAAGACGGUGGUGGUUAUAUUACAGUUGACGAACUCCAGCAAGCUUGUGUGGAGCAUGACAUGACUGACGUUCUUCUAUCAUUAAAGAAGUUGAUCAGGAUAAUGUAUGUAUUGAAAAUCAUUGAAAUUUUUAAUUGUUCAUAUAUCAUUUUGAGCUGGAAUUGCAGUGACUGGUACUGGUAAAGAUGCAAGUGCAGGAAUUGCAUUUUUAGUGAUGCUGCAAGCGCAAAAUUGCAGCUGUUGUUGGAGUUGAUCUAUAAGUUUGUGGAACAAGGUUGCAGUUGGUGAAGCAGUGAACAAAUGGGAGUUGAAGUGAAGUGCAGAACAGUUUGAUGCUGCAGCUGAAGCUUGGCCAAUAGAGCUGGGUUUGCAUACAGUUUGUGAAGUUGAGCUUACUGAUAGAUGCUCAGCUGGUAUAUGUGAGUUUUUUUUUUGUCAAACCAGGUAGCUUUUUAUAUGCAUGUUACCUUGUGUUUAUGCAUGAAUAUGUGGUGCAAUGGUAGCACAACUACCUAUAUGUCAGAAGAUGUGUGUUCGACUCACACUAGGUUCA